rnacentral:rRNA from 1 species
AACGAACGCUGGCGGCAGGCUUAACACAUGCAAGUCGAACGAGACCUUCGGGUCUAGUGGCGCACGGGUGCGUAACGCGUGGGAAUCUGCCCUCUGGUACGGAAUAACUCAGGGAAACUUGAGCUAAUACCGUAUAAUGACUUCGGUCCAAAGAUUUAUCGCCAGAGGAUGAGCCCGCGUUGGAUUAGCUUGUUGGUGAGGUAAAGGCUCACCAAGGCGACGAUCCGUAGCUGGUCUGAGAGGAUGAUCAGCCACACUGGGACUGAGACACGGCCCAGACUCCUACGGGAGGCAGCAGUGGGGAAUCUUGGACAAUGGGCGCAAGCCUGAUCCAGCCAUGCCGCGUGAGUGAAGAAGGCCUUCGGGUUGUAAAGCUCUUUUGUCAGGGACGAUAAUGACGGUACCUGAAGAAUAAGCCCCGGCAAACUUCGUGCCAGCCGCCGCGGUAAGAC